rnacentral:rRNA from 1 species
CCUACGGGGUGCAGCAGGCGCGAAAACUUCGCACUGUGCGAAAGCACGACGAGGGAAUCCCAAGUGCUGGCUCGUAAGAGUCAGCUGUUUCUCUGUCUAAAAAGCAGAGAGAGUAAGGGCUGGGUAAGACGGGUGCCAGCCGCCGCGGUAAA